CUGGGGAGUGCAACGAGCGAGGAUUCCCAUCAUGUCUUGGAGGAUUCCAUGGGGGAUGAUGACACUUUAUCAUGUAACAUGGUGAUAAAUGGACAGUAUCGAUCGUGAGAUUCCUCCAGAGAAGGGCCCUGCUGUCCUGAUGACUGAGCUGCUCAGACGAGGGAGCCACACAUGGGCAUCAUUAUGGAGAGAGGGCCCGUAAGCCCACAUGGGCAUCAUUAUGGAGAGAGGGCCCGUAAGCCCACAUGGGCAUCAUUAUGGAGAGAGGGAGGUGUAGGGCCCGUAAGCCCACAUGGGCAUCAUUAUGGAGAGAGGGCCCGUAAGCCCACAUGGGCAUCAUUAUGGAGAGAGGGCCCAUAAGCCCACAUGGGCAUCAUUAUGGAGAGAGGGCCCAUAAGCCCACAUGGGCAUCAUUAUGGAGAGAGGGAGAGGUGUAGGGCCCGUAAGCACACAUGGGCAUCAUUAUGGAGAGAGGGCCCGUAAGCCCACAUGGGCAUCAUUAUGGAGAGAGGGCCCAUAAGCACACAUGGGCAUCA